GCCAAGUGAAAGGGGAAGCUAGCAGAAAUAGAGAGGGACAACGAAAAGCAGAAAGAAGAAUCACAGCUGCUAUUGUUCAUCUGCCUCAGGAUGUCUAAGGGGAAGAAGAGAGUGAAGAGUAAGGGGUGGACCUCAUAAUUCCUCUGAACUUGAUUCAACACCUUACUGUCAUGUGGACAAGUAAGAGUACCUGGUUCAAGGUGAUCUAGAUAGUAACACAGAUUCUUGAUGUCAACCUGAUGGAAACAAACCUUCACUUAAUGAAAUUUGCAACCUGCAUCUUUGGUUCAUCAA